GAUCCACCACUGCCUCUCAUCAUGUUGAUGAUCUCAGGAUCAGACAGUCUGUCGAAAAGGACAUUGAGAAAAGAAGAGAGGAAAGCUCCUCCAACAAGUUCAGCAGCCAUGUUCACAAGAUCAAGAAAGUAUGAAAGAGUAAGGGAAGUGGUUUGUGCGUCACUUCCAAUUGAUAGAUGCCAUAACUGCAGCCUUGGUAUGAUUUUCAAUGUUUUUGUCUAAGGCAUAUAAAAUGCUAUCUGCAUCAACUCUAUAAACUGCAGAAGAAUCACAUUAACAACGACCUCAGCGACUAAGCGAAGGAGGAAAUUUGACAAACACAAGCUGAAGAAACGAAGCUUUUUUGUAAAAAACUGUACCUGAUUGUGCAGCUAGUUUGUACUUCUUUCUUAUAAUUUGGAUUGACCAAGUAAUAAAUUUUAUAACUUUCGUUUGCCAUUGGCUUUCU